CUCAGCCCAGGGCCUGACACACAGGUGGGUCCAGGCUCUUGCUCAUUAACUGCUGAGUAAACUAAGGAGAUGUGGAGCCUGUGUUGAACCUGAGCACCCUGGGAUCGCUCAGCAACAAAGGAGCCAGAAAAGGCAAGGUGUACACACCGUGUGCAGCAUGGGCGAGCUGCAGGCAUGCAGAUGAGGAAACUGAGGCUUGGAGAGGCUCUCUGCCUUUGUCAACCUGGAGAUGCUGGGAAGGAAGUGAGGCCCAUCCCACCUCAGAUGCCUGUCCUCUGUCGUCAGGAGCAUUCUCUUGUUCUUCCGGGCUUGGCCAAGCGGUGGUCACUAUCCUUAAUCCCUCUCCCUGUGGGGUCUUCCCUAUCUUGAGCCUGUGGACAGCUGUGCAGUGGCAAGAAAAAGGCCUUCAGAGCUACGCAGACCUGGCUUCAAAUCCCAGCCUCCCUGAUGAGCCCUGGUGGUCUUGCAUGCUUGCCCUUGGGACUCAGACACCAUAUUGUGAGGAAGCCCAAGCUACAUGCAGAGGCCACUAUAGUUGUUCUGGCCAACAGCCCAAGCUUCAGCUGCCAGACAUAUAAAUAAACCAACUCUUCAAAUGAUUUCAGUUUCCAGACUUCAGUGCAUCCCAGCUCUCCCCAGGUACAGGCAAGCUCCCCAACCCAUGCUUCAUCCCCACCCCACAGACAGAACCUGGAGUCAGUCCUCCCACCCACAACUGUGCCUUCCAAACUAAGCUCAAAGCCCAGCUCUGUUGCUUUCAGAUGGGUGCCCUAGGGCAAGUCACCAACCCUAUAUGACAAAUCCCUCUGUGUCAAAUGGGAAUUAUAAUAGUGCCCCUGAGGAGUCUUGGAGAGAUUUAAUAAAGUGCCUGGAACAUAAUGAGUGCUCAUUAAGUGGACGCAGGGACAUGAGGCUUGGGAAAAAGGAAGGGGUCAAAGACGUCACCCCAGUCUCUGACUGGGAGGGAGAGAG
rnacentral:lncRNA from 10 species